rnacentral:lncRNA from 1 species
CAAGAUCUAAGACUUAGUAAACCUAGUAUCAAUUCGCACUGGUCAGUUUUUUUAUCCCAAGAAUAAACUUGUGAUAAUUUAAGCAAAAGCAAUUUCAAAUUCUUUGCCAAACUGCUUCCAGUCCUGAUGUCGGGGACUCUUUUCACCACUGUGUUGUUGUCGUUUAUAGAUUGUAAGAGCAGGACUGCUAAAAGAAAGGCCAGUCCUGAAAAGAAGACCCCAAUAAAAGGAGGAGGGUCGCUGAGCAGGCUGGUCCUUCCACCAGCUCAGAUGUGGUCAAAGGAGUGAAGCGCAAGCUUGUGCAAGAUGAAGAGGGCACAACAAAGAAAGCAAAGAAGGCUAAACUUCUCGACCAUAUGAGCGGUGACAAGGAGCAAGCAUCCUCCUUGUUGGACUCUGGUAAAGGUAGGCUAAUUAGUUGAAUAAGGGGGUAGAUUAAGUGUGGUUGCUAGGUUUAAGAUAUUAGUGUUUAGUGUUUGUGUCUAUCAUCCAGUGAGCUGAUGUGCUUUUGGUGUUUUCCACAUCUCCAGACUUGAAUAACAAACAGGUGUGCGCAAAAAUGGCAAAAGAAAGGCGCGGGAGACAACAGAGAGUCACCCAAGAAAAAAAAAGGAAUGUGGACCAGGACAAAAAUCAGUGGCAGACCAAAAACGUAAGUAGCAAGCAGCUUGGGUUUUAUAUUCAGGGGAAGGCAAAAGGAACAUUUAGGCUACAGAGGAGAGUAAUUUGUGUCACAGCUGUAAUAAAACAAGAUUUGUUGUUUUGUCUGUUCAGGUGAAUUCCAAGCCAGAUAUGUGGAGGAGCACAGCUCGGAGAAGGAGGCUGCGGAGCAGUGUUUGCUGGCUACCGGAUAGAAGAUCGUUUUUCCAGUUGCCAUCAAACACAUUCCCAAAAAUAAAGUCUACUGCAAAGUGGCGGAUGAAAGCGGGAAGAAGCUCUCAGUGGAAGUGGCCAUUAUGGUUAAACUUGCAGGUGAAGCAGAAGGGUCAGUGGGAAUAUCUGCACCUGUGUCCUUGCUGGAGUGGUUCGACCUUGGCAAAGAGCUGAUCCUGGUGCUGGAGAGACCUGUCCCCGCUGUGGACCUGCAAAAAUACAAAGCAGAAAAUGGAAGAACUUUAACAGAGGACAGGCCAAGGUAGGCUGACUGGAAGAACCUUAGACUGUACAGCAUUCAAUCAAGGCAGAAAAGCAUGAACUCAUUAUUGUGUUUUUCAUCUUUUCCAGGUCAUUCUGAAGCAACUAGUUGAUGCUGUAAAGGAACUUGAGGAUAAACACAUCUUUCAUCGGGACAUCAAGGGACAAAACAUUCUGAUUGAGACCGGCUCAGAUGUGCCUCGUGUUCGCAUCAUUGACUUUGGACUGAGCUGCUUUGUUAAACAGCGAUCUCUGUAUCGCAUCUUCUAUGGUAACAUAUUCUGCUCCUGCUUUUCACAGAUGUAACAAUUUGUGUCUUUUGUUUUAGAAGAAAUUGCAAUUGUGUCUGUUUGUUAGGCACUCCUCUUCACAUCCCUCCCGAGUGGUACAUUAGGAGCUGCUACAGGUGUGGACCACCACGGUGUGGCAAAUGGGAGUGGUGUUGUAUGAAGCGCUUCAUGCACGAUACUUUAGUACCGCGAGGUUCCUCACAAAGAAACUGAGCAUCAAAAAGCGUCUGUCCACAGGUAAGAAAACUUCACACUUCCAGAUUCACUGAUGCCUUGGAUCACUAGAACUAUCAUCUUCAUCUUUUUGAUCUUUUCUUUCUUUCAAGAAUGCCGGAAUUUCUUGGACGCAUGUUUAGCUAUAGUCCCGGAGAAGCGCCCAACACUGGAGGAGCUCCAGCUUCACCCCUGGCUAAGAUAACACACACAAACACACAAUUCACACCUUAUCAUAUAAGUAUGAUACAUUGUAGUAACUUCCUUUCUUUUUUCUGUUGGACAGGAAUAGAUAGAAUGGGUCAAUCUUCAAAAAUAAAUAAAUAAAAAUUUAACUUUUUGGAGUUCCUGUAACCCCCCCAGCCAUCCCAGGAAAGGGGAUCUCUCUUUGAAUGGGCUUUCCCGAGGUUUCUUCCCAUCGAUCUGGCCCCCUGGGGAGUUUUUCCUCGUCUUCAUAGAGAGCUUGGGCUGGGUCAGGAGCUCCAUCAAAACUGUCUUUAUUUGAUGACUUUAAAAUAAAGAUGUGUUUUACUUAAAGUAAAAUUUGAUCAAAAUAAAACUUGUUUAAUUCAUCUUUGCUGAGGAUUCUCCUUCAUUACUAUUUUGUUUUGUUUUUUUUGUUUUGUUUUGUUUUACCCAUGGUGCAUUUUGACAAAUAAGAAAACUGAAUCAGGUUAAAGUGUGCACAAAGACAGUCACACUGCAAAUGAUCUGAAGACUUGCAUCUGUUGCUCUAACCCCCAACUAGUUUAGACAGAUUUCCUGGUUCUACCAGAGGUUUUUUCCUUCAAGAAGGGAGUUUUUCCUUCCCACUGUUGCUGAGUGUUUGCUCAUAGUGGGUUGUAAAAGCAUAAAAGUUCAUAAGAGGCAUUCAUAGCAGAGUUAUCACAGCGGGAACUAUAUAGCUUAAAUGUACAAUUUCUACAGGACGAAUUAUAACUUCAUUAUGUAUAAAAGCUCCUGUGGAUAAUUACUCCUAUUUGUAACUUUACACAAGAGAAAGUUUGCUGUCACACUAUUUAUAACAGGUUGGAUUUUGUCCUCUGAGUUGAGCCUUUGUUGCAGUUUAUUGAAGAAUUUCCUCUAAAGUAGCUGUUGAUAAAGAUUUAAAGUCCUGUUUAUAUACAGAAAUAUGCUUUAGUUCAUGUUUUUUUACAUGUCUGCCUCAGUGGAUCAGUAGAAGAUCUGGCACAGGAAACUAGAUGAUGAAAAAAGGGUACGAAUACACAUAUAUAUCUAUAUAGAUACAGAUAUAUAUACACACACACACAGGUUGCAAUGUAGUAUUUUCAUUUUUUCUUAGCAUUUCUUUAACGUCUUGGUGCAAAAGAAUACCUGCAUUUGUGUGUAAAGAAAUGUUACAUAUAUACUAAAAACAGCUGGAAAAAAGAACUACAAAUUUGGAAAGGAAUUUAUUCAUGUUCUUACUCAUAGAUGGAGUACAUGGUUUAAAAAACACUGAGGAAACAGAUAUGAGGCGGCUGUAUCAACAUAAAAACAUUAAUACAGUUAAAAGUGAAUAAAAAGUUGCACGCUUAAACUUAUUUCUCUACAGUUUGUACAAUUAAUCCAUGUAACAAUAGUUCGCUCUUAAUAUAGUAGUUAAUUAAAAUAUCUUUACAUAAAAAUACAUUUUUAAGUACUCUCCGGUGGAAGUCUGUUGUGGCUUAUGUUUCUAAAUGACACAACCAUAAAGCAGCCCACAGAAUAUACAAAUAUGUCCUUGAUAAGUGAAUGUUGGCUCCCACAAUGGCCUGUUAAGUUAUUGCAAAAUAAUUUACUGCAUAAUAUGUCAGAUUAGAACAUGUUAUAAGCACAAAACUGAAGGGGAAACAAUAAAAACAAAAAUUAAAAAACAAAUACUAAAUUAAGUUAAAGGAUAUUUCUUACUAUACUAUAUAAUUGUAUAAUGUUGCGUUUGAUUGCAAAUGAAAACCCACCAAGAAAAAAAGAAAGAAAGAAAAGAGAGAAUAGAGUUUAAUUUAUUCAAAACACAUUCUUUUCUUUUAUUUAAGCUGUAGCGAGAUUCAAAUGGACAAAAGAGAAAGAAAAAUAUUACAGAUUUGUUUUAUUAAUCAUGAAUAAACUUUAUUAUACACAACUCUAAAUUUCAGUUGGUCUUAGUCAGAUGUGUUUUUAAUUAAAUCCUGCAACACUGUGCUCGCUGCCAUCACUUUAUAUCUUAGUGUGCAAUUCAAAUAUAUACUUAUUACAAUAUUUUUCCCCCUUAACUCUCAACUCGCGUUUUUAAAAUGUCUGUGAUCAUAUUUGUCCGUUGACUUCUGUCUGGGCCUCGAACGAUUCAUCAGACAGGUUGGCAGCCUCCAACUGAUGCUCCAGACUUUCAUCAUCGCCUCUAUUCUGAUCAACUCUUAUCUUAAACUUAGUGAUGAACUCAUUACUGGCCAGCGCGCCCUCCUUUUUAGGGCAUGUGGGCUUUGAUAACAGCCGGCUUUCCAGUCGCUCUGCAAAGAAAAUUCACAAACAUUUCUUAUUUGGUAAGCUUGUUAACAAAUUUUAGUUCAGUUUUGCUGAAAGUUAUAGCAUGCAUCAGGUAAGAAGCAAUUGGUUUUUAAAAAGCAUAUACAUUCCCCAAAACAUUUUUAUUAUGUGCAUUUUGGAGAAUAAAAGAUUGUACACAAUUUCCCUUUUUAAAGUAAAAAGAUUAUUAAGUCUAAUUCUUACUUAUUCAGUAGAUUAAAGUAUUGAAACAUCAUUAUUCAUAAAAUAUGCACAUUACAAAAUUAAAGUUAUUCAAAAAUUACUCAAGUACUUACUCCAAUACUCACAUUAUUCAAGUAAAUUUAAUUUUUGCCAAUGUAAUGUCACAUAAAAUCUUAAUCUGAAUAAGGGUUCUGAACCCCACUGUCACGGCCAGGGGAUCAGCAGGCAGUGUUUUUGUUUUUGUUUUUGUUCUCUCUCUCUCUCGCUCUCUCUCGCUCUCUCUCGCCCGCAAGGGCGGAACUCAUGGUGGGUUCACGCCCUCGGCCCACGCCCCUCUGAAGAGGAAACACCUGGGCCUCAUCAGUGCAGCCAGCAUUUAAGCCAGGGAGUGGCUUCUACUCAUCGCUGGAUCCUUGUGUGUGACUCGCGUCAGUGCUCUGAGCAAGUUCUCUUUUGCUUCCCUGUGCAAAACCUCUAACGUGUGUUUCCUUCUGUACAUAGAUCCCCUGGACCCGACUCUGCAUUCCCGAGCGGAUUCCCUUUUGUGUGAGUGUUUGGAGAGAGAGUCAGAAGAGGAGCAAGUGUCUUUCCCCUACCUGGAUUUCCCCGGAGCCUUUUCCCUGUCACCGCUUUGUAUAUAGCACUAUCCCUGCACUGUUUGUAUAUACACCUGGUGGAACUGUAAUAAAUACUGACUGUGCCUCUGAGUCCUGCGUGUGAGUCCUCAAGCGAACCGUGAC